UGUAUAAUGGGUCAGCGACUUAUAUUCUGUAGCAAGGUUAACCGAAUAGGGGAGCCGGAGGGAAACCGAGUCUUAACCGGGCGUUAAGUUGCAGGGUAUAGACCCGAAACCCGGUGAUCUAGCCAUGGGCAGGUUGAAGGUUGGGUAACACUAACUGGAGGACCGAACCGACUAAUGUUGAAAAAUUAGCGGAUGACCUGUGGCUGGGGGUGAAAGGCCAAUCAAACCGGGAGAUAGCUGGUUCUCCCCGAAAGCUAUUUAGGUAGCGCCUCGUGAAUUCAUCUCCGGGGGUAGAGCACUGUUUCGGCUAGGGGGCCAUCCCGGCUUACCAACCCGAUGCAAACUGCGAAUACCGGAGAAUGUUAUCACGGGAGACACACGGCGGGUGCUAACGUCCGUCGUGAAGAGGGAAACAACCCAGACCGCCAGCUAAGGUCCCAAAGUCAUGGUUAAGUGGGAAACGAUGUGGGAAGGCCCAGACAGCCAGGAUGUUGGCUUAGAAGCAGCCAUCAUUUAAAGAAAGCGUAAUAGCUCACUGGUCGAGUCGGCCUGCGCGGAAGAUGUAACGGGGCUAAACCAU
rnacentral:rRNA from 1 species